AUGGCCUGGACCCCUCUCCUGCUCCCUGUUCUCAAACUCUGCACAGGCUCUGUGGCAUCCAGUGAGCUACUCAGCCACCCUCAGUGUCAGCAGCCCUGGGACAGGCAGCUACAAUCACCUGCUCUGGAGAUGUACUGUCAGAGAAAUAUUCAUCUUGGUACCAGCAGAAGCCAAGCCAAGCACCCGUGCUGGUCAUUUAUAAGGACAGUGAGCGGCCCUCAGGGAUCCCUGACCGAUUCUCUGCCUCCAGUUCAGGGAAAACAGUCACGCUGACCAUCAGCGGGGCCCAGGCUGAGGAUGAGGCUGACUACUACUGUAGGUCAUCAGACAGUGCUAAUAAGGUUCACAGUGGCACAGGUAGAUGGGGAAGUGAGACACAAACUCCUUCCCAGUCUGUGUUCUCUCCUCCAGCCGCAGGGGGCUGGUAGACAAAGCAGUGAAUAGAUCUGGCUCAGGUUCCCACAUCUGAUGUCCCCAGG